UACGUAGGGGGCUAGCGUUGUCCGGAUUUAUUGGGCGUAAAGAGCUCGUAGGUGGUUCGGUAAGUCGGAUGUGAAAUCUCCAGGCUCAACCUGGAGGGGUCAUUCGAUACUGCCGUGACUAGAGUUCGGUAGAGGAGUGUGGAAUUCCAGGUGUAGCGGUGAAAUGCGUAGAUAUCUGGAGGAAUACCGGUGGCGAAGGCGGCAUCCUGGACCGACAUUGACGCUGAUGAGCGAAAGCUAGGGGAGCAAACGGG
rnacentral:rRNA from 1 species